rnacentral:rRNA from 1 species
AACGAACGCUGGCGGCAGGCCUAACACAUGCAAGUCGAGCGGAUCCCUCGGGAUUAGCGGCGGACGGGUGAGUAACGCGUGGGAAUAUGCCCUUCUCUACGGAAUAGCCUCGGGAAACUGGGAGUAAUACCGUAUACGCCCUACGGGGGAAAGAUUUAUCGGAGAAGGAUUAGCCCGCGUUGGAUUAGGUAGUUGGUGGGGUAAUGGCCUACCAAGCCUACGAUCCAUAGCUGGUUUGAGAGGAUGAUCAGCCACACUGGGACUGAGACACGGCCCAGACUCCUACGGGAGGCAGCAGUGGGGAAUCUUAGACAAUGGGGGAAACCCUGAUCUAGCCAUGCCGCGUGAGUGAUGAAGGCCUUAGGGUUGCAAAGCUCUUUCAGCUGGGAAGAUAAUGACGGUACCAGCAGAAGAAGCCCCGGCUAACUCCGUGCCAGCCGCCGCAGUAACAC